GCUGAUAUGGCCGAGUCGUUAAGGCGAGUGAUUUGAAUUGCUUCAAACAUCACUUGGGCGUUGCCCGCGUAGGUUCAAAUCCUGCUGUCAGCG
rnacentral:tRNA from 2 species